rnacentral:rRNA from 1 species
GUCUAUAUGAAGGUGUAUAUAGUUUGGCCUGCUCACUGAUUAAAUUAAAGAGCCGCAGUAUUUUGACUGUGCGAAGGUAGCAUAAUAAAUUGUCUUUUAAAUAAAGGCUUGAAUGAAAGGUUGGACAAAGUAUCAUCUGUUUCUUAAAUAUUUAUUGAAUUUGACUUUUAAGUGAAAAGGCUUAAAUAAAUCAAAAAGACGAUAAGACCCUAUAAAUCUUUACAAUAAAUAUAUUUUAUAUUUUAGCUUAUAAGUGUAUAAGAAAUAAAAAUAUAGGUUUGUUGCGCUGGGGCGGCGUAGAUAUAUAAAUAAACUGUCUAUAAUUUAAAUACAAUAAUCAUUGCUUAAUACAAAUUGAUCCUUAAAUAGAUUAAAAGAUUAAGAUACUUUAGGGAUAACAGCGUUAUUUUUUUUGAGAGUUCUUAUCGAAGAAAAAGUUUGCGACCUCGAUGUUGAAUUAAAGUAUCUCUAUGGUGUAGCCGCUAUAAGAGAGAGUCUGUUCGACUUUUAAUACUUU